AAGAGAAGUUGUCCAACUCUCCUGCAAUUUGAUAAACCCUAAUUUCUUUGAUCUGAAUAUGAAGCAGCUAAUCAGCAAACGAACAAUCGACAAAUUGUCAAAACUCAAAGCUACGCAAAUUCUAUCUCAUUUUCACUCAAAAUCCUCAAUCCCAACAUCCUCUCUUCCUCCGUCCACCAGUUGGACCAAAUGCCCAUUUUUCCAAAUUCACAACACACCAGUUCCAAAAUUUGUAUCUUGGAGUGGUAAAAGAUUCAUUCACACAGAUACAGCUACUGAUACAGCUGAAGAAAUGGUAAGUGAGACUGAGGAUGAUGCUACAAUGAAUGACUUCUUGUCAAGAUUUGUUUGGAUAAUGCGUGGAAAACUCAUGGAAGUAUAUCCAGAUUUUGAGAAAAAAACAAUUGAUGAGAUGCUUUUGGUUAUUGUUGCCAAGGUUGUUUCUGAGCUGGAAAAGGGUGGUUUUGAUCAGAUAGUUGGAGGUAAGUCGUCCUCACCUUCUCAGGAUGAUGAUUUUAGUCACGAUUUGUGGAAGACUGUGUGGGAGGUGAGUAAUGUAGUUUUGGAAGAUAUGGAGAAAGCAAAAAGGAAGGAUAAAAUGAAGAACUUUCUUCAAGCUGAGCAAGUUAAGGAGAUGUGUAGGUUUGCUGGUGAAGUAGGUAUACGUGGAGAUAUGCUUAGGGAGUAUAGGUUCAAAUGGGCACGUGAGAAGAUGGAGGAGAGUGAGUUUUAUCACAGUCUUGAACGUUUUAAGGAAGAGGAACAGCAAGGGACCGAAUAUGGUAUUGGUGUCGUGGAGCACCAAAGUCGUGCUGAGGACCCUAAACUUGUCGCUCUUCCAAAAAGGCGUGGCAAAAUUAACUAUAAGAUUUAUGGACUUGAUUUAUCCGAUUCAAAAUGGUCACAAGUGGCUGAUAAGAUUCAUGAGGCUGAGAAAAUCAUAUGCCCUCAAGAACCAAAAAAAAUAGAUGGAAAGUGCAAAAUUAUUACUGAAAAAUUACUUUCUUCACAGGAACAAGAUGAUUAUUCUCCACUUAUAGCAGAAUGGGUACAACUUCUCCAGCCUAGCAGGGUAGACUGGAUAAAUUUACUUGAUAGAUUGAAUAACCGAAAUCCUAGUCUAUAUUUGAAGAUUGCAGAACAUGUGCUUGGUGAAGAGUCCUUCCAAACAAACAUACGUGACUACUCAAAACUCGUUGACGCCCAUGCUAGAGAUAACCAGCGAGAAGAUGCCGAGAGAAUUAUCAGAAAAAUGAGUGAAAAUGGAAUUGUACCUGAUAUUCUCACAUCAACAAUCAUGGUUCACAUGUACAGCAAAGCAGGUGAUCUGGAUCGAGCAAAAGCCGCAUUUGAGAGCUUGAGAACUCAAGGAUUCCUACCAGACAUGGGGGUUUACAAUUCCAUGAUCCUAGCCUAUGUAAAUGCUGGCGACCCAAAGAAAGGUGAAUCAUUGAUGAAGGAAAUGGAGGUAAGAGACAUCAAACCCUCUAAGAAGAUCUAUAUGGCCCUUCUAAGGUCAUUUUCUCAGCAUGGUGAUGCUAAUGGAGCCCAUAGAAUAGCAACUACAAUGCAAUUUUCAGGAUUUCAGCCCACUUUAGAGUCAUGUAUGUUACUUGUUGAGGCAUUUGGAAAAGCUGGUGACCCUGAUCAGGCAAGGCAGAAUUUCGAUUACAUGAUUAAACUUGGACACAAGCCAGAUGAUAGAUGCACUGCUACCAUGAUAGCAGCAUAUGAGAAGAAUAACCUGCUGGAUAAAGCCUUAAAUCUUUUAAUAGAGCUUGAGAAAGAUGGCUUUGAGCCUGGGGUGGCUACUUAUUCGGUUUUGGUGGAUUGGUUGAGUAAAAUGCAACUAAUUGAUGAAGCUGAACAACUCUUAGAUAAAAUUGCUGAACAGGGUGAGGCUCCUCCAUUCAAGGUUCAUAUUAGCCUAUGUGACAUGUAUGCAAGAGCUAAUGUUGAGAAAAAGGCUCUUCAAGCUCUUGGAGUUUUGGAGGCAAAACAAGAGCAGUUGGAACCAGAAGAUUUCGAGAGGAUUAUAUGGUCACUUAUAGCUGGUGGAUUUGUACAAGAUGCUCAAAAGUUCCAAGGAUUGAUGGAAGCUCGGGGAUUUACAGUGUCUGAGCAACUUCAAGUAACACUCAUGGCGUCUCAAACUUUUCUUCGCAGGAGACCAUCUGUAAGAUAAUGUUGAUCACUUGCGUACAAGGGUCAUAACUGGGAAGGUUUUGCUGAGGCACUCCUACAUUUCUCCUGUAAUUGCCACUGAAUUUCUACUGUGACAUUUCACUGUUUCCACCAUUUAAAUUCUGUUGAUACUGCCCAUACACUCCAUUUUGACUCGGCUGACCUUCUAAACCUCCCUCAAACCUGGAUCUAUGCAUGAAAUUUGAAAAAUGACAGUUAUGAAGUCCAGUGGUGGACAAAAUGAAAGGGAGCUUUUGCAAGAAAACAUAAAACAGUUGGAGGAUUUCCCAAACAGACUUGUUAAUUGAUAGUUAUUGUAGCGAUGACAUUCGUUUAUAGUUUUUCUUUUGUCAUAAGAUGUCAGGAAAAGGGAAGUGAUUUUCUUUGCUGUUGUGUGACAUUUGUGGUGGUAGUUAGAGUUUUGUUAGAAUUGGAUGCUUUUUGAUGCUA